rnacentral:rRNA from 1 species
CUUUGGGAUAAGCUUGGGAAACUGGGUCUAAUCCCGAUUAUGACCACUUCUUGGAUGUUGNGUGGAAAGCUUUUGCGGUNUGGGAUGAGCCUGCGGCCUAUCAGCUUGUUGGUGGGGUAAUGNCCUACCAAGGCGGCGACGGGUAUCCGGCCUGAGAGGGUGUACGGACACAUUGGGACUGAGAUACGGCCCAGANUCCUACGGGAGGCAGCAGUGGGGAAUAUUGCACAAUGGGCGCAAGCCUGAUGCAGCGACGCCGCGUGGGGGAUGAAGGCCUUCGGGUUGUAAACUCCUUUCGCUAUCGACGAAGCCUUCGGGUGACGGUAGGUAGAUAAGAAGCACCGGCUAACUACGUGCCAGCAGCCGCGGUAAUACGUAGGGUGCAAGCGUUGUCCGGAAUUACUGGGCGUAAAGAGCUCGUAGGUGGCUUGAUAAGCCGGUUGUGAAAGCCCCGGGCUCAACCUGGGAACGGCAUCCGGAACUGUCAGGCUAGAGUGCAGGAGAGGAAGGUAGAAUUCCCGGUGUAGCGGUGAAAUGCGUAGAGAUCGGGAGGAAUACCAGUGGCGAAGGCGGCCUUCUGGACUGACACUGACACUGAGGUGCGAAAGCGUGGGUAGCAAACAGGAUUAGAUACCCUGGUAGUCCACGCCGUAAACGAUGUCGACCAGCCGUUGGGUGCCUAGCGCACUUUGUGGCGAAGUUAACGCGAUAAGUCGACCGCCUGGGGAGUACGGCCGCAAGGUUAAAACUCAAAUGAAUUGACGGGGGCCCGCACAAGCGGUGGAGCAUGUGGUUUAAUUCGAUGCAACGCGAAGAACCUUACCUACCCUUGACAUCGACAGAAGCCGAGAGAGAUCUUGGUGUGCCUUCGGGAACUGUCAGACAGGUGCUGCAUGGCUGUCGUCAGCUCGUGUUGUGAAAUGUUGGGUUAAGUCCCGUAACGAGCGCAACCCUUGUCCUUAUUUGCCAGCGCGUAAUGGCGGGAACUCUAAGGAGACUGCCGGUGACAAACCGGAGGAAGGUGGGGACGACGUCAAGUCAUCAUGGCCCUUACGGGUAGGGCUACACACGUGCUACAAUGGCCGGUACAAAGGGCAGCGAGCUCGCGAGAGUCAGCGAAUCCCUUAAAGCCGGUCUCAGUCCGGAUCGGAGUCUGCAACUCGACUCCGUGAAGUCGGAAUCGCUAGUAAUCAUGAAUCAGAA